CUCAGGAUGAACGCUGGCGGCGUGCCUAAUACAUGCAAGUCGAGCGAACUGAUUAGAAGCUUGCUUCUAUGACGUUAGCGGCGGACGGGUGAGUAACACGUGGGCAACCUGCCUGUAAGACUGGGAUAACUUCGGGAAACCGAAGCUAAUACCGGAUAGGAUCUUCUCCUUCAUGGGAGAUGAUUGAAAGAUGGUUUCGGCUAUCACUUACAGAUGGGCCCGCGGUGCAUUAGCUAGUUGGUGAGGUAACGGCUCACCAAGGCAACGAUGCAUAGCCGACCUGAGAGGGUGAUCGGCCACACUGGGACUGAGACACGGCCCAGACUCCUACGGGAGGCAGCAGUAGGGAAUCUUCCGCAAUGGACGAAAGUCUGACGGAGCAACGCCGCGUGAGUGAUGAAGGCUUUCGGGUCGUAAAACUCUGUUGUUAGGGAAGAACAAGUACGAGAGUAACUGCUCGUACCUUGACGGUACCUAACCAGAAAGCCACGGCUAACUACGUGCC
rnacentral:rRNA from 2 species